rnacentral:rRNA from 1 species
GUGAGGAAUUUUCCGCAAUGGGCGAAAGUCUGACGGAGCAAUGCCGCGUGAAGGAUGAAGGCCUAUGGGUUGUAAACUUCUUUUCUCAGAAAAGAAUUAUGACGGUAUCUGAGGAAUAAGCAUCGACUAACUCUGUGCCAGCAGCCGCGGUAAGACAGAGGAUGCAAGCGUUAUCCGGAAUGAUUGGGCGUAAAGCGUCUGUAGGUUGUUUAAAAAGUAUUCUGUCAAAGAUUAGGGCUUAACCCUAGAUAGGCAGAAUAAACUUUUAAGCUAGAGUUUGGUAGAGGCAGAGGGAAUUCCCGGUGGAGCGGUGAAAUGCGUAGAUAUCGGGAGGAACACCAAAGGCGAAGGCACUCUGCUGGGCCAAUACUAACACUGAGAGACGAAAGCGAGGGGAGCAAAUGGGAUUAGAAACCCUGGUAGUCC